CUACGGGCGGCACCAGUGAGGAAUAUUGCACAAUGGGGGGAACCCUGAUGCAGCAACGCCGCGUGGAGGAUGACGCAUUUCGGUGUGUAAACUCCUUUUAUAUGUCAAGAAAAUGACGGUAGCAUAUGAAUAAGCACCGGCUAACUCCGUGCCAGCAGCCGCGGUAAUACGGAGGGUGCAAGCGUUACUCGGAAUCACUGGGCGUAAAGGACGCGUAGGCGGGUUGGAAAGUCAGGUGUGAAAUCCUACAGCUUAACUGUAGAUCUGCACUUGAAACUUCUAAUCUAGAGUAUGGGAGGGGGAGAUGGAAUUAGUGGUGUAGGGGUAACAUCCGUAGAUAUCACUAGGAAUACCUAAAGCGAAGGCGAUCUCCUGGAACAUUACUGACGCUAAGGCGUGAAAGCGUGGGGAGCAAACAGGAUUAGAUACCCCUGUAGUC
rnacentral:rRNA from 1 species